UGCAUGCAUGUGGAUGGGCUAAUACCAGGGAUGUCCGCCAAACUCCAACCUAUGGCUUUCUUAUGCGCCCUCAACACUCCAAGCAACCUCUCCUCUUGAACAGAAUCAAGGGAGGUGGAAAUGAUCACCGGUUUCCUCUCAUCAUCCUCCAAGUACACGUACUUGAGGUUUUCUGGGAGUUGUUUCAGCUCAAGAGUGGGUUCCUGCA
rnacentral:lncRNA from 1 species